rnacentral:rRNA from 1 species
AUUGAACGCUGGCGGAAUGCUUUACACAUGCAAGUCGAGCGGCAGCGCGGGGCAACCUGGCGGCGAGCGGCGAACGGGUGAGUAACAUAUCGGAACGUACCCUGUCGUGGGGGAUAACACAGCGAAAGUUGUGCUAAUACCGCAUACGACCUGAGGGUGAAAGCGGGGGAUCGCAAGACCUCGCGCGAUAGGAGCGGCCGAUAUCGGAUUAGCUAGUUGGUGAGGUAAAGGCUCACCAAGGCGACGAUCCGUAGCGGGUCUGAGAGGACGACCCGCCACACUGGAACUGAGACACGGUCCAGACUCCUACGGGAGGCAGCAGUGGGGAAUUUUGGACAAUGGGGGCAACCCUGAUCCAGCCAUUCCGCGUGAGUGAAGAAGGCCUUCGGGUUGUAAAGCUCUUUCGGCAGGAACGAAACGGUCGUCUCUAACAUAGAUGGCUAAUGACGGUACCUGAAGAAGAAGCACCGGCUAACUACGUGCCAGCCGCCGCCGUAA